AUUGAACGCUGGCGGCAGGCUUAACACAUGCAAGUCGAGCGGAGAUGAGGUGCUUGCACCUUAUCUUAGCGGCGGACGGGUGAGUAAUGCUUAGGAAUCUGCCUAUUAGUGGGGGACAACAUUCCGAAAGGAAUGCUAAUACCGCAUACGUCCUACGGGAGAAAGCAGGGGAUCUUCGGACCUUGCGCUAAUAGAUGAGCCUAAGUCGGAUUAGCUAGUUGGUGGGGUAAAGGCCUACCAAGGCGACGAUCUGUAGCGGGUCUGAGAGGAUGAUCCGCCACACUGGGACUGGGACACGGCCCAGACUCCUACGGGAGGCAGCAGUGGGGAAUAUUGGACAAUGGGGGGAACCCUGAUCCAGCCAUGCCGCGUGUGUGAAGAAGGCCUUAUGGUUGUAAAGCACUUUAAGCGAGGAGGAGGCUACUGAGACUAAUACUCUUGGAUAGUGGACGUUACUCGCAGAAUAAGCACCGGCUAACUCUGUGCCAGCAGCCGCCGUAAGAC
rnacentral:rRNA from 1 species